AGCCGGGACGAGUUUGCCCAGCGAGGGCGCAGGCCCACGGCAGCCCCAGCCUCCCUGCCAAAGGUCGGGGAGAUGCAGCCGGGUGGGGACCCCUGCCCUGUACCCAGCUGACGUCCCCUUGGUGCCGGGGCUGGCGGCAACAGAGAAGAGCCCAAAGGAGGGACCAGCAGCCUUCACCGAUAACACUGCACUUUACGUGGGGUCAUAUAGGCAAGAGUCAAACCCGGAGCAUAAAAACCCUCCAGCAUCCCGGCAGCACAGGGCUGCCAGGGCAGAGACACUGAAAGGGGACUGCUGCAGUGGCUGUCUUUCCCCUCCAGAAAAGGGAAAAGCUCAGCCAAGUGUCCAGCUGAACCCUGGAGAGGUUAUACACAGCAACUGGGACAGCUGUCUGCUGGAACGGCAGUGGUGGGGCUCAGACCCCCCCCCCCCAGGAGCAGCCCCCCCGGGCAGCACCCCCAGCUGGGAGGAACCCCCGGAGUUGGGGGCACCGAGCACGGAGGGACUGUCCCAUCCAGUUCCCUGCUCGCACCGCUCCGGCUGCCCCUGUCAUGCAGGCGUGAUCUCUUCGGAAAGAUGCAGAUAUAUAUAUAUAUAUAUAUAUAUAUCAUCAUCAUCUUUAUUAUUUUUAAUUAUUUUUUAACUCCCCUUCCUCGGCUAAAGGCUGCGAGCAGCGCAGCCAAGCGCAGCGUGGGGUCACGUCGCCUUUCUCCCCAGCACCACAGCGGAGAGAAACCUUGCCGUCUGAGUCACCCUCUGGUGCGUGACAGCUGUCCCCAGUUUGCCGUGGGAGGCACAUGACCGCUCGCUGCUUUUCCUCGCCGAAUUGCUGACGGAUCGGGGGAGGAAUGCAGAAGUCGCCCUUGCAGCGCGGGCCGGUGAGCGGUGUCACGGCGCGUUGGGACGGACGCCAAGGCUCAGAAGCCACUCGCCGGAGUGACGGCGGGCUUCUCCGGCCUGACGAAGCACUUCUGAAGCCUGAAGAAAAGUGGGGUUCCCCUGC